UACGUAGGGGGCGAGCGUUGUCCGGAAUUACUGGGCGUAAAGGGCGCGUAGGCGGCAAUUCAAGUCAUCUGUGAAAUCUCCGGGCUUAACUCGGAACGGUCAGGUGAUACUGCUUUGCUAGAGUGCGGAAGGGGCAAUCGGAAUUCUUGGUGUAGCGGUGAAAUGCGUAGAUAUCGGGAGGAAGGCCGGUGGCGAAGGCGGCGCUCUGGAACAUUUCUGACGCUGAGGCUCGAAAGCGUGGGGAGCAAACAGG
rnacentral:rRNA from 1 species